rnacentral:rRNA from 1 species
GACGAACGCUGGCGGCGUGCUUAACACAUGCAAGUCGAGCGGUAAGGCCCUUUCGGGGGUACACGAGCGGCGAACGGGUGAGUAACACGUGGGUGACCUGCCCUCAGCUCUGGGAUAAGCCUGGGAAACUGGGUCUAAUACCGGAUAUGACUCCAUGACGCAUGUUGUGGGGUGGAAAGCCUUGUGCGGCUGAGGAUGGGCCCGCGGCCUAUCAGCUUGUUGGUGGGGUGAGGCCUACCAAGGCGACGACGGGUAGCCGGCCUGAGAGGGCGACCGGCCACACUGGGACUGAGACACGGCCCAGACUCCUACGGGAGGCAGCAGUGGGGAAUCUUGCGCAAGUGGGCGAAAGCCUGACGCAGCGACGCCGCGUGA